rnacentral:rRNA from 1 species
UUGCAGUAAUGCAAGGCAUACGGCUCAGUUAACACGUAGUCAACUUACCCUAUGGACGAGAAUAAUCUCGGGAAACUGAGCAUAAUUCUCGAUAGAUCAAAAUGCCUGGAAUGGUUUAUGGUUAAAAUGAUUCGUCGCCAUAGGAUGGGACUGCGGCCUAUCAGCUUGUUGGUGAGGUAAUGGCCCACCAAGGCGAUUACAGGUACGGGCUCUGAGAGGAGAAGCCCGGAGAUGGGUACUGAGACACGGACCCAGGCCCUAUGGGGCGCAGCAGGCGAGAAAACUUUGCAAUGUGCGAAAGCACGACAAGGUUAAUCCGAGUGAUUUCUGCUAAAGAAAUCUUUUACCAGUCGUAAAACCACUGGCGAAUAAGGGGUGGGCAAGUUCUGGUGUCAGCCGCCGCGGUAAAACCAGCACCUCAAGUGGUCAGGAUGAUUAUUGGGCCUAGAGCAUCCGUAGCCUGCUUUGUAAG